UACAGGGGGUGCUAGCGUUGUUCGGAAUGACUGGGCGUAAAGGGUGCGUAGGCGGCUUUGUAAGUAGGAUGUGAAAUCCCCGGGCUUAACCCGGGAACUGCAUUCUAUACUGCAAGGCUAGAGAUCGAUAGAGGAAACAGGAAUUCCUAGUGUAGGGGUAAUAUCCAUAGAUAUUAGGAGGAACACCAGUGGCGAAGGCGAGUUUCUGGGUCGAUACUGACGCUGAGGCACGAAAGCGUGGGGAGCAAACAGG
rnacentral:rRNA from 1 species